AGCGUACACGGUGGAUGCCCUGGCAGUCAGAGGCGAUGAAGGACGUGCUAAUCUGCGAUAAGCGUCGGUAAGGUGAUAUGAACCGUUAUAACCGGCGAUUUCCGAAUGGGGAAACCCAGUGUGUUUCGACACACUAUCAUUAACUGAAUCCAUAGGUUAAUGAGGCGAACCGGGGGAACUGAAACAUCUAAGUACCCCGAGGAAAAGAAAUCAACCGAGAUUCCCCCAGUAGCGGCGAGCGAACGGGGAGGAGCCCAGAGCCUGAAUCAGUGUGUGUGUUAGUGGAAGCGUCUGGAAAGGCGCGCGAUACAGGGUGACAGCCCCGUACACAAAAAUGCACAUAUUGUGAGCUCGAUGAGUAGGGCGGGACACGUGGUAUCCUGUCUGAAUAUGGGGGGACCAUCCUCCAAGGCUAAAUACUCCUGACUGACCGAUAGUGAACCAGUACCGUGAGGGAAAGGCGAAAAGAACCCCGGCGAGGGGAGUGAAAAAGAACCUGAAACCGUGUACGUACAAGCAGUGGGAGCCUCUUUUAUGGGGUGACUGCGUACCUUUUGUAUAAUGGGUCAGCGACUUAUAUUCUGUAGCAAGGUUAACCGAAUAGGGGAGCCGAAGGGAAACCGAGUCUUAACUGGGCGUUAAGUUGCAGGGUAUAGACCCGAAACCCGGUGAUCUAGCCAUGGGCAGGUUGAAGGUUGGGUAACACUAACUGGAGGACCGAACCGACUAAUGUUGAAAAAUUAGCGGAUGACUUGUGGCUGGGGGUGAAAGGCCAAUCAAACCGGGAGAUAGCUGGUUCUCCCCGAAAGCUAUUUAGGUAGCGCCUCGUGAAUUCAUCUCCGGGGGUAGAGCACUGUUUCGGCAAGGGGGUCAUCCCGACUUACCAACCCGAUGCAAACUGCGAAUACCGGAGAAUGUUAUCACGGGAGACACACGGCGGGUGCUAACGUCCGUCGUGAAGAGGGAAACAACCCAGACCGCCAGCUAAGGUCCCAAAGUCAUGGUUAAGUGGGAAACGAUGUGGGAAGGCCCAGACAGCCAGGAUGUUGGCUUAGAAGCAGCCAUCAUUUAAAGAAAGCGUAAUAGCUCACUGGUCGAGUCGGCCUGCGCGGAAGAUGUAACGGGGCUAAACCAUGCACCGAAGCUGCGGCAGCGACACUAUGUGUUGUUGGGUAGGGGAGCGUUCUGUAAGCCUGUGAAGGUGUACUGUGAGGUAUGCUGGAGGUAUCAGAAGUGCGAAUGCUGACAUAAGUAACGAUAAAGCGGGUGAAAAGCCCGCUCGCCGGAAGACCAAGGGUUCCUGUCCAACGUUAAUCGGGGCAGGGUGAGUCGACCCCUAAGGCGAGGCCGAAAGGCGUAGUCGAUGGGAAACAGGUUAAUAUUCCUGUACUUGGUGUUACUGCGAAGGGGGGACGGAGAAGGCUAUGUUGGCCGGGCGACGGUUGUCCCGGUUUAAGCGUGUAGGCUGGUUUUCCAGGCAAAUCCGGAAAAUCAAGGCUGAGGCGUGAUGACGAGGCACUACGGUGCUGAAGCAACAAAUGCCCUGCUUCCAGGAAAAGCCUCUAAGCAUCAGGUAACAUCAAAUCGUACCCCAAACCGACACAGGUGGUCAGGUAGAGAAUACCAAGGCGCUUGAGAGAACUCGGGUGAAGGAACUAGGCAAAAUGGUGCCGUAACUUCGGGAGAAGGCACGCUGAUAUGUAGGUGAAGUCCCUCGCGGAUGGAGCUGAAAUCAGUCGAAGAUACCAGCUGGCUGCAACUGUUUAUUAAAAACACAGCACUGUGCAAACACGAAAGUGGACGUAUACGGUGUGACGCCUGCCCGGUGCCGGAAGGUUAAUUGAUGGGGUCAGCGCAAGCGAAGCUCUUGAUCGAAGCCCCGGUAAACGGCGGCCGUAACUAUAACGGUCCUAAGGUAGCGAAAUUCCUUGUCGGGUAAGUUCCGACCUGCACGAAUGGCGUAAUGAUGGCCAGGCUGUCUCCACCCGAGACUCAGUGAAAUUGAACUCGCUGUGAAGAUGCAGUGUACCCGCGGCAAGACGGAAAGACCCCGUGAACCUUUACUAUAGCUUGACACUGAACAUUGAGCCUUGAUGUGUAGGAUAGGUGGGAGGCUUAGAAGUGUGGACGCCAGUCUGCAUGGAGCCGACCUUGAAAUACCACCCUUUAAUGUUUGAUGUUCUAACGU
rnacentral:rRNA from 1 species